AUGGAAUUGGGGGGGACAGCAGAGCCCACCCUGGCACCCCACAUUUCACAUCCCCUCCUUGAGGGAUGGAACACAGCCCACAUGGGUUCUAGAGGGCCUGAUGGAGGGAACACAGCCCACACGGGAUGGAGGGAACACAGCCCACACGGAAUGGAGGGAACACACCCCACACGGAAUGGAGGGAACACACCCCACACAGGAUGGAGGGAACACACCCCACACAGGAUGGAGGUAACACAGCCCACACGGGCCCUUGAGGGCCCGAUGGAGGGAACACAGCCCACACGGGUCCUGGAGGGCCCGAUGGAGGGAACACAGCCCACACGGGCCCUGGAGGGCCCGAUGGAGGGAAGACAGCCCACACGGGCCCUCCAGCCCGCCAGGCCCGAGGUGUGGGGGCAGCACCCCCCUCACAGGCACCACAACCCCCAUGGACCCUUUGGGUCACCCCCAGAGCGGGCCCACGCCCCCUCCCCGGCCCUGCGGAGUUUCGGGGGUCGCAGCCCCCCGGCCCCGGCCCCGCUCACCACAGACACCGCGCUCCGGCCCGUCCCGCUCCGCCUCCGGGCAGCCCGGCCGGAACCGGCCCCGCUGGAACCGCCCGGGACAGCCCCCACGGCCACCGGGGGAUCCCUGGCACCCCGGGGCCAGCAGCCCCACAGCCCCGUUCCCCGGCCCUGUCCCUCCCACACCGCCGAACCCGGGGGGCUGCAGCGGCCUGGGAACACCAGAAAGGCCCCGAUUCACCCGGGGAGGGCUGGCGGCCUUGCACCUGCGGGACCACACCUGGGAGCGGUACCCGGGACCUGCGGUAAAGGAUGGGAAUAUGCCAGGGAAAAGGGGGAAAACAAGCAAAGACAAAAAACAAAAUACCCACAAGAACAAAUAAACAAAAUAAAAACCCCAAACAAACUAGGGAAAGGGUGCUGGGGGCUCUUUCCCUCCUUUUUUUCCUUGUCCUUUCUAUUUCUUUCUUGGUUUUCCCCCUCCUUUUAUGGAACACAUUAUUUUUCCUUUUUUUCUUGUCUUUUCUAUCCCCCCUUCUCCCAGAUCCCACUCCCAAAUAUGUUUCCACAGGUGCAAGGCUCCCCUCCACCUGUUCCCCUCAUCCCUCCCUGGUCACUGUAUCCCACCUGCACAUCCUCCCCCUUCCUGGCAUUCCCAUCCCCACCCCGCAUCUUUGUUCCCCCAAAACACCUGAAAAGCAUUCCCCCUUCAAUUUCCACAAUAAUUCAAGAUCAGGAGAGCAGACCCCAACUUCAGGCUCUUUUUUCUCCAUUUAUUUUUUUCCAUUCAGGAGCAUUCCCACCCCUCAGGAAUCAUCUCCCUCUCAGGGGAACUGGGGCCACAACGCUCCAUUCUCACUCCAGCUCCCACUUCUCUCCUCCAAACCCCUCAUUUUCCUCCAGAUUUGGACUUUGGGGGCUGCUUUUCCCCAUUUUUAGGGGCCUGGGGACAUUCCCAAGCAUUGGCCCUGAGCCGCUCCCAGAGGGAGGGAAUAAUCCUCCCCCUCCUCCUCGGGGCUCUCAACCCUCGUUUCUCUCCUCCACAGCACCUUUUUCAUCCCAAAGUGGACUCUGGGCACCCCCAGUUCACCUUUCCCCAGAUACAGAGUCCAGUGGCAAACCCAAAACUCUUUUCCACCAGAUCCCUCAUCUCAUCUCCUCCCUUUAA
ensembl:lncRNA